rnacentral:rRNA from 1 species
AAAUUGAAGAGUUUGAUCAUGGCUCAGAUUGAACGCUGGCGGCAGGCCUAACACAUGCAAGUCGAACGGUAACAGGAAGCAGCUUGCUGCUUCGCUGACGAGUGGCGGACGGGUGAGUAAUGUCUGGGAAACUGCCUGAUGGAGGGGGAUAACUACUGGAAACGGUGGCUAAUACCGCAUAACGUCGCAAGACCAAAGAGGGGGACCUUUGGGCCUUUUGCCAUCAGAUGUGCCCAGAUGGGAUUAGCU